AGGGUUCGAUUCUGGACUCAGAACGAACGCUGGCGGCAUGGAUUAGGCAUGCAAGUCGAACGGGAGCAGCAAUGCUCCAGUGGCGCAAGGGUGAGGAACACGUGAACAACCUGCCUUCGAGUUGGGGAUAGCUUCUGGAAACGGGAGAUAAUACCGAAUAACAUCAUUAGGUCGCAUGACCGGAUGAUCAAAGCAGCAAUGCGCUUGAAGAGGGGUUCGCGUCCCAUUAGCUAGUUGGUGAGGUAACGGCCCACCAAGGCGAUGAUGGGUAGCUGGUCUGAGAGGACGAUCAGCCACAUUGGGACUGAGAUACUGCCCAGACUCCUACGGGAGGCUGCAGUCGAGAAUUUUGGGCAAUGGACGAAAGUCUGACCCCAAGCAAUGCCGCGUGCGGGAUGAAGGUCUUCGGAUUGUAAACCGCUGUCAAGAGGGACGAAAUAUGACGGUACCUCUGGAGGAAGCCACGGCUAACUACGUGCCAGCCGCGGC
rnacentral:rRNA from 1 species